UGGGUGGGGGUAGGGAAGAACUUCACCUCUUCCUGUCCUUCUAGAAACUUCCCCAACUGUAUUUUUUGAAACUAUAGAUUUGGGGACGCUGGGAGAGAUUCAGAUCUUCUAGUCUAGGGGUCAGCAUACGAAGGCCAUGGACUAAUCUGGACCCAUUUCCUAAUUUUAUACAUGACGAUUAUUGGAACGCAGCCAUGCCCACUCAUUGACCUAUUGUCCAUGGCUGACUUUGCUAUGCAACAGGAGCGUUGGGAAGGUGCAACAGGGUCUCUAUGGCCCAUAAAACCGAAUAUUUUCGCUAUCCAGCCCUUUUUAGAAAAACUCAGCAACCCUGGCUCUUCCACUGUUUAGAUUCUGGACCAUGUGCGAUGGCAGGAUCGGACCACACCGAACUACUCGGGGAACACGGACGAGGCCAGGAGAGCUCUUACACAAUUUUUUUGAUUGUAAAAUUAUAAAGAAGAAAAUAAAAAGGCACCCAUAAUUCUAUCACCCUCUAAUAAGAACGGUUAAUAUUUUGCUGUGUUUGCAUCUAGUCUUUUUCUAUUUACAUAUAAAAAUGUAAGUAUAUAUAAUUAUGUCAUUAACAUCCUACCGUGUUUAGUUUUGUAUCCGGUUGUGGGAGCCUGUGUCUCCCAUUUUACGGUGACCAUUUCGCACGUCCUUGGACCAUUCGUUGUGAACAUGCCUUCUAGUAACUUUUUAAGAGGUGUCUCAGCAUCAUUGAACCUGUAGCAUAUGGAAGUUCCCAGGCUAGGGGUGAAAUUGGAGUCACAGCUGCCAGCCUACGGCUGCAGCCACAGCCAUGAAAUAUCUGAGCCAUAUCUGCGACCUAUACCACAGCUCACAGGAAUGCUAAAUCCUUAACCCACUGAGUGGGGCCAGAGAUCAAACCCACGUCCUCAUGGAUAAGAGUCAGGUUCAUUACGCUGAAUACAGCGGGAAUUCCAGUCCGAGUUUGAACAAGCCCUCCAGGUAACCUGAAUGCAUGUUCAAGUGCCAGACCCACUGCCCUGAGCUUGAUCCACAGAGGUUAGUGGGAGAAUACAGACCCACCCUGAGUCCUCCUUGGUUUCAUCACAUACUGGGGAAGAAGUGGGACAUGAUCCUUUGUCCUGUCAUGAUUGGGAGGGAGUCAGAGCCUCCUGGAGAUGUCUUGGAAUCUUAAAUAAGCCCAGGCUCUUUCAUAGUAAUUUUUUGUUUCCUGGAAAAGUAGGCUUCUCCCUGUUCUGGGCUGUGGCAGCAAGAUUAUUUGAAUUGGGGAAAAAUGCUAAGAGUGAAAAUGCAAUAAAGUAUCAAAUGGAGAAAAUGCGGUUUUCAGUUGAGCCACACAAUUAAACAUUAAGGGAUAGUUUAGUGGUUAAUAGUAAUUAUUAUUCCUCUGACAUGUAUUAUCUCAGAAACCACGGGACAUGGCUGAAUUGCAAGGAAUUUAGGUGUAGAAGGCAUAGCCAAUGACCCCACGGUCAGGUUCAAUGUUGAGGUGUCCUUCCUCCAUCCACAAUUAAAGGCUGACCCUUAAUGCAUCAAAAGUUAUUUAUCAAAAGUUUGCCCGCAGGUGUUUCUGUACUGGGACUUGCUAAAAACAAAACAAAAUAAGACGAACAGAGUCUUACAAAGCUAAACAUAGCCUUACCCUACAAUGCAGCAGUCCUAUGCCUGGGUCUUUACCUAACUGAUUUGCAAACUUAUGCCUUGCACACAAAUGUUUAUAGCAGCUUUAUUCAUGAUCACCAAAACCUGGAAGGAACUGUUAUAUCCUCUGUAGCCUUGUUUUGUUUUGAUUUGUUUUGGCUUUGGCCUUGCCCUGGGCAUGUGGAAGGUCCCAGGUUGGUGAUCGAACUUGAGCCAUAGCAGUGACUUGAACCACUGCAGUAACAAGUUCACCAAGAGAACGCUGUGUCCUUUGAAGGGGAAUGGAUCAAGAAAAUUUGAUGCAACGGAAUACUGUACAGUGACAAAAAA
rnacentral:lncRNA from 9 species